GUUGUCUAUAUUUUUUAAUGAAAUUAGUAUUUGUUCGACUCUUAACCUAAUGUGUGCUACUCUGUUAGAUUAUCAGUAUAAGCAAAUAAAAAUUGAAGUCCACAGUGACACAAAAAUUUCACGGCCUCGGAGUUGGUGUAAGUUUGCAUGCAUCAUCAACUCGAAACAUCUUCAGUUACUUCAUUCUCGGAACUAAUAAAGAACCUGUUGUUCACCUAAUGUGUAGAUGUGUUGGAAAUUUAUCCAAUGAUGAAAACACGGACCAAAUAUAAUGAAAAGAAUAUGUUUGUGCAUGGACUUCAGAAAACAACAAAAAACGGUAUGUGUCCAGUCAAACGUAGAAAUGCAUAGCAAAUGAUUUGUUCUGCUUUCCGACUUAAAAUAACAGUUUAUACGAAUUAUAAAAUAUACGUAAUACAACAGCUAAAUUUUGUAAUGGUACCCACUG